rnacentral:lncRNA from 1 species
UUUAUUUUACAAUAUACUUAAUAUUCUCUUCUUCUUUACCUUCCUCUCCAGCUUCAUUUCCUUCAUGCUGAAUCACCAGGGGGUCCCACAUGGCUGUCCCAACUCCAUCAAGCUGGAGUCCGAGAGGUGGCAGGCAGGCGGGCAGGGGCUUAGGAACACGCGAGGCAGCCGCACUCUAAGUGUCUCUCCACCUCUUCUACAAAUGAGGAGCCGUCCGUGCACUGGAAGACGUAUUUCCGCCGCUUGCUGCGGGUGGGCUGGCAGCACUGGGGCCCACAGCCCCCACGACAUUCCAUGAUGGGCACCUUGGAGGCUGUGGCACAUGAUGCAUAACCUUUCUGGCGGCGGAUCACCUCUCGGACUACUUGUCCCAGGCACGGAUUCUCUGCAGAGGGCAUAGAAGUCAGGGCAUUGGUGGUCUAGGUGGCCAGCAGGACCAUGAACAGUUCCCAGGUAUAAAAUGUGGAAAAGUCCUCGAGGCACGGGGUGGACUGCCUGGGAUCCUGGUGGCAGGGAGCAAGACUUCUCAGUGUCCAUGCAGGAGAAAGAUCCCCCAAGGAAGCUCUGGGCCCAGGCUCCAUUCGGACCUCCCAUUUUUCUACCCACGAACACC